rnacentral:lncRNA from 1 species
UGCCUUUGGAGGGUAUAUCUCCUCUCUGGCUCUUUCACUUCUUUUCUGCUACCUGGAUGACAGGAAGUGAGCAACUUUCCAUGCCCUUCCACCAUGAUGUUUCUGCCUUGGAGCCAGCUAACCAUGGACUCAAACCUCUGAAACCAUGAGUCAAAAUAAACCUCUCCUCCUUUAAAUUGUUUUCUCAGGUAUUUGGUCAUAGGGACAAAAAGCUAAUAUAUUAAGCAAGGACCUUCAGGUAGAGAGGUUGUCCAGAAUUAUCGGGGUGGACCCAGUAUCAUCACAUGGGAUUUAGAAGCAAGACCUUUUCCAGCGGUAGACAGAGUGAGAUGCAACUGGAGAAGAGAGGCAGAGAGACUCGGUGUUGCUGACUUUGACGAUGGAGCCAGGAGGCCGUAAUCUGAGGGGCAGGGGCAGCCACUAGAAGCUGAGAAGGCCAGGAAACAGACUCUCCACUAAGGUUUACCAGAAGGGACAGCAGCCCUACCAUCACCUUGGCUGGGGCUCAGCGAGAUCCAAGUCGGACUUCUGACCUGUGGAACUGCAAGUGCUGAUGACAGUAACAGCAGUGGAUGGGGAGUGAAAGCGAAAGUCAGUGGCAACCUAUUGAAGGAAUUAGCACCCAUGCCCAGCUGGGAAGUGGAUUCAUCAUUUCCGUUUACCUUUCUGAGAAGGGAAAGAGCAGAAAAAGGUGCCAAGUGCUGCAAUGCUGUGACAUGGCAUCGGAUUUUGCACACAGAACAGCCCAUAUGUGAUGCUCUAUGUAUAGAACACCAGGCGCAGCUGAUUCCAAAAUCAUCCUUAAUGCUUCUCACAUACGUCUUAUGAGGGCAUCGGAUCUGAAAGUGUCCCAAAUGCUUCUGCUGCCGAGCUUUCUAGUACUUGGACAUCGCUGGACAGCAGAGGAGAAUUGGUGCCCCAUAAUUUGAUGAUAAAACAUCUGGGCGCUGCCGAGAAUGCAAAGUCUUGGCAGCAGGGCACUGUGUGCAUCUUACCUCCUCGGUGACCCCACCACCCAGCACAUCAGAGACACUGCUAAAUAUUUUGAAAUUAACCCAGAUGUUCCCCACGAGGAAGAAGAGAGGAUUCAUGAGAAGGGAGGGUCAGGUCCCCCACGUCCCUAUGAGCCCACAACAAUCCUUCGGCUGAUCGCCCCUGGCAAGGUCUCGUGUCCUAAAAAACAUAUUCUGCUAAUGAACUCAUCACUGGAUUUAUCCACUCAGUGAAGUCAGUUCCCCUCAUAAUCCAACCACCUCUCUAGGAAGCUCUUCAUUCCAGUCAAGCAAACUGCCUUCCAGCUUAUUCAUCCACUGCAGAUAACUGGACAAGAAGCUUUACAAGGCUCUUCCCAACUCUCACAGGAGAUGAUUCCAUGAUUGUCUUCAUAAUCACUACCUGUUAUGGCUUGUGUCUAGAUGUCCCCCAGAACUUCAUGUGGUCAUAGAGGGUGCUUUUCAGAAGUGGCUGGAUCUAGAGUGUGAUCCUAGGACUAAGUGUGUGAUGCUGGGAUCAAGGAUGUGUGACUACUAAAUUAGCCCACUGAUUGGUUUAGCAUAGUUCUAAGAGCAGAUAAUGGGAAGGUCCACCCUGAGUGUGAGUGCUACCUGCUCUAAGGGUGUGUGGCCUGGAAAGAAUAUAAGGGACAGAAAGAGGGCUGCUGUGGUUGCUUGCUGCUUGAUGAUUACUACUUCUCUGCUUUGCUGCCUUCCUGCCUUCUGCCCACCAUGAACUGUUUCUCCUCUGUGAUGCCCCUCUGCUAUGCCACCCUGCCUAGAAGCCAGCCGACUAUGAACUGAAACCUCUACAAACUGUGAGGCAAAACAAACCUUUCCACCUUUAAGUGUCAAGUUUUUGUCUCAGCAAUGAGAAAAGUAAUUAAGACACCAUCUAAAGGCACUUGUCUUCUUGGGUCUUUGUUUCCUCAUCUGUCAAAUGUCCAGAUACUCUCCAGAGCUAUCUACCUCUAACUUCCAAGAUUUAUGAAAGGCAGAGUUAAAGCCCAAGGAUCCCUUGCAGCACUUAGUGGAAGAAACACAAGAAACCAGCCCAAAACCAUAACAGAAGGGUUUCCAUACACAAGCAGGACUUAUUUCCACAAGUCUUUCAGAAGUGCCCUAUCCACUAAGGAGAAUUUUGUACACUGAGAGCUUCAUCCAGUUGUUCUAAUUUGAUGGAAAGUCAGCUGAAGAGGAGCUAACCAGUUGCUGGGUCCAGAAUGCUGGGAAGACAGGAUAGAAAUCAACAGAGAGACAUCAGAACUAGAAUGACCAUAAUAGACCCUUUGUUCUCUGCUGCUUAAUAAUAGCAAGCUCGUUCCCACAGCUCUUUGUAGCUUGUGUGGUGCUUCCUGCAUGCAUCAUUCCAUUUAAGCAAUGGGACAACCUGGCCAAAUGGAUAGCAUUUUUGUUUCCAUUUUGCAGCCAAGUUACCAAGGCUUGGGGAUAUUUGCUAACUUGUGAUACUAGACUAGGAUUUGCACUGAG